UCGAAUCGUCCAUUUUCGACGGGUAGGUUUUCGCAGGCGGACGGUGAAAAGAUUUUCUGCAUCGAAAAUUUCAAUUUGAACAUCGAAGGCAGUGAGUUCUGCUCAACAGACAUUUGGAAAGAGUUCGGCACACUUGUGCGAAAACGCAGGCCUAUUAGGUGAAGGCGAGCGAAUAGCAUUUGGCCGCAAAAACGACCUGAAAGUUGAAAGUAAUUGCGUGCUAAGCUAGUGAGAAAAAAGAAGAGAGGAGAGCUGAGGAGGUUGAAACCGUCGAGAAAUCGUUGUCGUCGCGCUCGCUACAAUUGUUUGCUUUUUGGCAGAAAUCGUCAACGCGCUGUUGGCAAACAUUCACACAAUAAUAGUUGGUGAAAAUCGCGAAAUUUUUUAUAUUCCGGAGUGCCUGUGAAGUACAGUUAAGAUGAGUACGGGAUUGCCGGAGUUGGGCUCAAAAAUUAGCCUGAUUUCGAAGGCGGACAUCAGGUAUGAAGGCCGCCUCUAUACCGUGGAUCCGCAGGAGUGCACCAUUGCGCUCUCUAGUGUGCGCUCCUUCGGCACCGAGGACCGGGACACACAGUUCCAGAUUGCGCCCCAGUCGCAGAUCUACGACUACAUCCUCUUCCGCGGCUCGGACAUCAAGGACAUUCGGGUGGUGAACAACCAUACACUGCCCCACCACAAUGAUCCGGCGAUCAUGCAGGCCCAGCUCCAGAACGCACCGCCCCAGGUCAUGCCCCAGCACUUCCCCAUGCCCAACGCCAUGGGUGCUCCGCCCCAGCAGCCACAACAGGUGCCGCCGCAGCAGCAGCAGCCGCCCCAUGGGGCUCCCUCGAUGCCGGGUGGCGGCAACGGUGCCGGUGGCGCACCCAGCGGUGCUCCUGGCUAUGGAAAUGGAAAUCCCUUCGGCAACCUGGCCGCCGCCAACUUAGCCAACAUGGUGGGCAAUGCGAACGCCGGCUCCCUGGCUCCGGGUGCAGGUGCCCCUGGAAGCGGAGCACCCUUCAUGCACAUUGGAAAUCAACAGCAGCAGAAGCCCCAGCAGCAAAAACAGCCAAUUUCCGUUUUAGACAUGCUGGCCGGAGCCUCCCGUUCCACAACGCCCAUCAGCCUGAUUAUCAGUCCCACGGCGGAGCUCACCCAGCAGCACCAGCAGCAGAUGCAACAGAACACUGCCCAGGGUGGCAACGGGCGCGAUGCAGGUCAUAAGCGCCAGAACCACCAGCAGCAGCAUUCGAAUCAGCAGGGCCAGCAGCAACGUGGCGGAUCCAACAACAACAUGCAUCAGCAGCAGCAGCGGGGAGGCAGCGGCAAUGAUUUCUAUAACCAGCGGGAUCGCCGUGACUCUGGUCGCCAGAUGGACAACAACUACAACAGCAAUUACAGCAAUAAUCAGCGCAAUAAUCGCGGCGGCGGCGGAGGAGGCGGCAAUGGCAUGCAGCAGCAGCAGCGAGGAGGCGGCGGUGGCGGCAAUGGAGGAGGCGGUGGCAACGGAGCCUGGAAUAUGCAUCGCGGAGGUCAGAACUCAAACAACAUGAUGAUGCGUAAUCGUGGAAUGGGAUCACGAGGUCCCAUGCGACCAAAUCAGGGAUAUCGUCCGCAGUCGGCCAAUCAGAACAAGCCGCUUAACAAGAUCAAGUUCGAGGGCGACUUCGACUUCGAGCAGGCCAACAACAAGUUCGAGGAACUGCGCUCCCAGCUGGCGAAGCUCAAGGUGGCCGACGAGGCAGCCAAAUCAACCGCCAACUCUACGGCAACCACAACUGCAACCAAUGAGCAGGUGGGUGAAAAGGUUGAGGGCGCCGCCCAUACACUAAAUGGGGAGACGGACAAGAAGGAUGAUUCUGGCAACGAGACCGGGGCCGGGGAGCAUGAGCCGGAGGAGGAUGAUGUCCAUGUGGGCUAUGACAAGACCAAGUCGUUCUUCGACAACAUUUCGUGCGAGGCUGCCCAGGACCGCAGCAAGAACAAGAAGAACGAUUGGCGCCAGGAGCGCAAGUUGAACACCGAGACCUUUGGCGUUUCCUCGACUCGUCGUGGCAGCUACCGUGGACGCAACCAUUACUACAAUAAUGGCAACAUGGGCGGCGGAGCGGGCAAUGGAGGCAUGAACUCUGGCUAUGGUGGAGCGCCGGGCUACAAUCGCAACAACUACCGGAUGGGCGGUGGUGGCGGCGGAAACUUCCGCAACCGAAGCAACAACCGGAACAAUGGCGGCGGCGGUGGCGGCCGGGGAAAUGGUCAGCCCACUAUUCCCAAUGGCAAUGGCAACCCAGCCGCUGCCCUGAAGGCGGCAGCCAACAAUGCAGGAUCCACGGACGCAUCCGCCACAACAGCGACGACGAAAUCGACGUCCCUCUUGCCAGAGCAGACGCAACAGGUGGCGGCAGUUUCUCAAUAAUGCCGCUUGGUCAGUGGAGAACCACUUUAAAAUAACAAUUGAUGAAGGAAGAGUUAAAAAACCGAGAGAAAAAAGAGAGAGAGAACCCAAUCAAGCGACCGAUCGACCGACGACACACUGGCUCUUAUUAUCAGGAAUUUCGAGUUACGGAUCUAACGGAAUAAAUAUAUUUGUAUAAUUAUACUUAGCGUUAUAAUUCUCACGACGUCCUGCGGGGGCACACUCUGCUGCUGCUGCUCGCCCACCGUGCCCGCGAUAAACGCGCUUUACGAUUACCGAUUACUGAUUACUGAUUAUCGAUUACCGAUUACCAAUUAGCGAUUAGGGCGAUUAUCAAUUGCAGGCGUGCUGCGAACCGGCCAUCUGUUUAGGUUUUUGUGUAAAUGGCUGGUUCCAAUGCGUUGCGCUGAGCAGAACACGUUAACGAAACAACAACAAACAACAGCAAACAAAAAAUUAAGAAAAGAAAAGAAAAAACAAAAAAAAAGGAAACAUGGCACGCCUCUACAUACAUACAUAUAUUUUAGUAAUAGAUGCAAAGAAAAUAUUAAUCAUAAGUAUAUGAAAAGCUAUAAAAAACAAAAAGCAAACAAUUUAACAGAAACACUCGCGGAGAUGAAAUGAAAUUAAUGGAGCGGAACGAAAUUAAAUCCAUGGAAUUCCCAAACUAAAAACUAAAAAAAAAAAAAUAAAAUCUAAAAUGCAUGUUUUUAUUUGGAUGAGAACAAAAAUAGAGAUGAAACUGAUUGUAAUACUGUGUACUUUUCGUGGGCGUAAAACAUCGAGACAAAUCGAAUCGUUUUACUAGCAUUUAAUUAUAUUAUUUAAGAACAUUUUAAAUAUGAAAAUGAAAUAAAAUCAGCAGCAAUGCUUGUUGGAAAAGCACAAUUGUAAAAAGUCAAUCCAGCCCAGCUGAAGAGUGAACGAACAGCAGCAGUCUCCAAACGAAAA
rnacentral:misc_RNA from 1 species